UAAUAAUAUACACAUAUACUCUCUAUAAUAAAAGCUCGCGGCAAUUUACUUCUGUGUAAAUCGCUAUCGACAUCUGGUUGAUAUCUGAUAUGGAUUGCAGACAUCAGAAAACUAAAGCACAUCACGAUUUCAAGCACGUUAUUAUACUAUCAACAGAAUUGCUAGACAAAAUACAAUGUGUGAACACCGUUUUACAUCAAAAUCAAAGCGUGUUAAAAUAAAAAUAUUGCAUUGUAUCGAGAGUGAGGUUGACCCAAAUUCACAACAACAAGAGUAUUCACUCACUCAAUGUAUACACUAAGUGUAUAGAAAAUUGGAGACCCUAAAAAACACACAAAGUUAUGUUUGUAUUAGAGUGUGAUGAUAAUAAUUAGCACCAAAAUGGGAACUGUCAGGGCUCAAAGGCAUACUGAAUAAUGCUGUCGAGUGAGUGAGUGAGUGGUUGGUAGUUGGUUUGCUCCGUCAAAAAGCGUCUUAAAACGUUGUUUUGCUGCAACUAUCAAUAACCGAAAGGAAUAUGUCUCUCAUUUGUGAUUGAUAUUCAAUUAUUAUUGCACCUUCUAUUUUAAGUCGGUAUGGUGAAAAAGACGGAAAAAUUGGAUGUAAGCCCCACAAAUCAAUUGGCCCUCCAUUGCUACAGCUGGAAUCUGCCGCUACGCCUAAUAUAGCGGAUGAAUCCCUGAUGCGCGAAUUUCAAAAGCUGUCGACAGACUUGUGGGGAAUUCGAGGCCAGCUGGAUUUUGUGCUAUAGAACCAGCAAGCCAUACUUACUAGGAUGGACAAUAUGGAAACCAAGGAAAUUCAAUUGGAAAAAAUCUAUCGAAUUCACGAACGUUUAAAUAGCUGACUAAUAAGGUAGAUAAUUUAACGAGUGAUUUCAAUGAUUUAUCAUCUACUGCUGAAUCAGAUAAAUCAAAUUUUACGUUAAUCUAGAUCAUUCAAUUUUCGUUUUGGAGGCGUUAUCGGAAGACAGAAAUGAAAAUGCAAUGGAGAAAAUAAAGGAUUUGAUCAGUAAUAGGCCUACACUGAACUUGCCUAACGUCAUUAUAGAAAAUGCUCACCGAACAGCGCUACGAAAUUUUUACCAAGGCAAGAACUUUGCUAAAGGACAGCAAUAAAUUUGUCAGAAAUGAUCUAUGCGAAGCUGAUUUGCUUAAAAAACGAAGCCUCCGAGACGUGAUGACAAAGGCUUAUAGUGAGGGGAAGAAGCCAUCAUUCCGUAACGGAAACCUCUAUAAAUGGACGAUUGCACAUCUAAAACAAGUCCGAUACGACCGGUACUAGAACUAUACAAAACUUGAUAUAAACAUUAUUAUUUGUUUAUGAAGACGGAGCAAGUAAACUAACUGUUUCUGUAUUAUUUUUAUAACUCGCUGAAAACUCGACAAAAGAAAUAACGAGUCAUGAGAUUCUUUAUUAUUGAUAUUUUUUUAAAUUAUUUAUUUACAAGUGUUGAUACUUAUUUGUUAUCUUGCAGUAUAUUUUUGUGUUCGCACUUUUAAUAGUGUCAUGUUUUAAAUUAUAAAAUGUGCUUUAUGUACCGGAAAUUCAAAUUUAACACCUGAUUCGACGUCGUGCAUAUCUUGCAAUAUUACAGUACACUUGAAAUGUAAUAAUAAAUCAGAAAACUGUCUCUGUUUAAACUGUGCCAAUAUUAUUUUUCCUUUUAACCAUAUUUUAGAUGACACCGAAUUUGUUCAUGAAGUUCAACAUUUUUUCUAGAUCAUAAGUUAAACUUUGAGAAAAUAAGCUCUCUCAAUUUAACCUUUGAUAUUGAUUUGUAUGAUAGCAAUGCAGAUAGUAACUUAUUCUUAAUUUUUCUUUUAGCACCUUUCAUCUAAAUGCCAGAAGCUUAGUUAAGCACUUCGAUGGAAUUAAUGAUUUCUUAAAUACAAUCAGUCACGAAUUGUGUUUUUCAGAGACGUUUUUUAACACUAAUAAAACCAACUUUCCUUUUUAGUAUACCUGGCUAUAACUUAUUGCACAAUUCAAGAUCUGAUAGGCCAGGAGGUGGUGUCGCCAUAUACCUAGAUCAGAGACUACAGAAUGCGUAAUGAUCUUUCCUCUAUUAUUUCUAGUAAUGCCGAAUCUAUUUUUAUUGAAAUCAAUGCUCAACAUAAAAAUAUUAUUCUUGAUCUACAGAAAUCCUGACUUAUCAGUUAAUACUUUUAAUUAAAAAAAUUUCCAAAAUCCUUGGAAAUUAUAAAUAAAAAAACCAAAACUUCGUACCUUACUGGUGAUUUCAACGUUAAUUUACUAAAUUGUAAAUACCCACUGCCAAAUAUCUGAAUUCAUUAAUAAUAUGUUUAAUUUUAAUUUUUAUACCUUAGCUACUAAACCAACACGAAUUACAACCAAAACUGCAACCCUCAUUGAUAAUAUUUUUUCUAAUAAAAUUAUUGAAAAAAAUUGCAUCUGGUAUUUUCUAUUCUGACAUAUCUGAUCACUUUCCCGUUUUCUUUUUAAACAAUAGCAUUUCAGCUGACAUACACGUCAGAUUAACCAACAGCCUAAACAUGUAUUUAUAACUAAACUUAAUAAUAAAACAAUUUCUAAUUUUAAAAAUGAGUUGUCUAAUACAAAUUGGUCUGAUCUAUAUAAUAAAGGUGACCCAAACUCUUCUUUUAACUUAUUUAAUUCUACAUUUAAGUUGGUAUAUAACAGGCAUUUUAAAAAACAAAAAUGUAGACGGAAUUUACGCAAAGAAAAAAGCCUUGGAUUUCAAAUUCACUAAUUAAGUCCAUUGAUACCAGAAAUACUGUGUACACAAAUUUAAAAUCGCAAAACUUAUUCCAAUUCAUAAAAAAGAAGACAUACGUCAGUUUAAUAAUCAUAGGCCUAUUUCAUUACUCCCCUGCUUAUCCAAAAUAUUUGAACGAUUAAUUUACAAAAGACUAUUUUUGCGAACAUAAUAUUAUUUAUAAUAGACAAUAUGGCUUUAGAAAACAAUAUUCCACUUACCUUGCAUUAAUUGACAUCCAUAACAAAAUAAAUUAUGCUUUAAGCAAAAACGAAGUAACAAUUGGAAUUUUCCUUGAUUUGUCGAAGGCCUUUGAUACCAUUAUUCACGAUAUUCUUAUUCAUAAGCUUGAACAUUAUGGUAUCAGAGGCUUCCACUACAAUUAAUUCAAAGCUACUUGUCAAACAGUCUAUAACUUUUUUUUUUUUAAUUCUGUGGGGGUUACCCACAACGUGCGGUGUAUCUCAGGGCUCGAUCUUAGGACCUCUCUUGUUUCUAAUUUAUGUUAUUGAUAUUCCAAGUUGUUCUAAAUUAUUUAACUUUACAUUAUUUGCAGAUGACACAAAUAUUUUCUAUUCGCAUAAAAAUAAAAAUAUAUUAUUUCAAAAAAUGAAUCAAGAGUUAAUUAAAAUAUCAGACUGGUUUAAACUAAAUAAAUUAUCUUUAAACAUUUCUAAAACAAAUUCUAUUAUAUUUAAUAAAUCUAAAACUACUAAAUUUAAAGAUGACCUAUACAUGGAUAAUGCUAAAAUUACUCGUCUAAACUAAAUUUUUAGGCGUUACAAUACACUCUAAUUUAAAUUGGAAGCCCCAUAUUGAUCGUGUAGCUAAUAUAAUUUCUCGAAAUUUAGGAAUGAUAAACAAAUAAAAGCUUUAUCUGCCGUCCAAUAUUCUAUUAAUUUUAUAUAGCACUCUUGUUUUACCGUACAUUUCUUACGAUAAUAUUGCAUGGGGCAGUAAAUACGAACAAAUUCGAAUCAUUAUGUCCUUAAGUUUGGAAAGUACGAAAUAUGUCAAACUCUUUCUCCUUCAAAAACGUACUUUGCGUAUUUUUGUGCACAUGCAUCAUAUAGGUCCCAUACUAAACUUUUAUUUCAUAAUUUUAAAGUUUCAAUAUAUGACUUAAAUAAACUUCAAAUAGCUAUAUUUAUGUUCAGAUUAUUUAAACAAACUUUAGCUUCUCAAUUAAAUGACUUUACAUCAGUUUCCUCUGUUCACAAUUAUCCCACAAGAUUUUCUACCGCAGCACAUGAUUUUAUUAUAGCCUCCUCCACAUUAUAUUUUAUAUUUUUAUGUUAUUGGUGGAAAAUAAAAGAAAUCUGAAUCUGAAUCUGCAUAGAGACUCGGGUCUCUAGAAUGAAACAUUCUUUAAAAGAUGAAAAAAUAUCAUCUGUUUUAGGUGAAUAAUUGUUUAAAUUGUCUAAAAGAACAUUUAUUGUAGAAACGUCAUGUCCUAACCUCCAUUUGACUUAUCACUUGACUACUACCGGGACCCAAUAGGUAAAAACGAAAUAAUAAGCGUCCCCUACCAAACCCCACUUGUGCCCUGCCACUCGACCCCUCUGGGCCCCGCCAUUAAGCCAAUUGAGCAGCCCUGGAAGCCAGGGCCGAUCUGGACGGCUCAAUGAAUUUAUAUUCCUGAACCCCCACAUUAGAUAUGCAAACUGUACAUGCGGUCCUUUCUGGUAAGUCCGCCCAUUGGUAAUGGUUGCAAAAAAAAAAAAAAAAAAAAAAAAAAAAAAAA
rnacentral:lncRNA from 1 species